rnacentral:rRNA from 1 species
UACGUAGGGUGCUAGCGUUGUCCGGAUUUAUUGGGCGUAAAGAGCUUGUAGGCGGUCUGUCGCGUCUGCUGUGAAAAUCCGGGGCUCAACCCCGGACUUGCAGUGGGUACGGGCAGACUAGAGUGUGGUAGGGGAGACUGGAAUUCCUGGUGUAGCGGUGAAAUGCGCAGAUAUCAGGAGGAACACCGAUGGCGAAGGCAGGUCUCUGGGCCACUACUGACGCUGAGAAGCGAAAGCAUGGGGAGCGAACAGG